AGAAAUAUACACGCGUCGCCAAA
rnacentral:siRNA from 1 species